GAAUAUUGCACAAUGGGCGAAAGCCUGAUGCAGCGACGCCGCGUGAGGGAUGACGGCCUUCGGGUUGUAAACCUCUUUCAGCAGGGACGAAGGGCAACUGACGGUACCUGCGGAAGAAGCGCCGGCCAACUACGUGCCAGCAGCCGCGGUAAGACGUAGGGCGCGAGCGUUGUCCGGAUUUAUUGGGCGGAAAGAGCUCGUAGGCGGCUUGGCGCGUCGACUGUGAAAACCCGCGGCUCAACCGUGUGGUCUGCAGUCGAUACGGGCAGGCUAGAGUUCGGUAGGGGAGACUGGAAUUCCUGGUGUAGCGGUGAAAUGCGCAGAUAUCAGGAGGAACACCGGUGGCGAAGGCGGGUCUCUGGGCCGAUACUGACGCUGAGGAGCGAAAGCGUGGGGAGCGAACAGG
rnacentral:rRNA from 1 species